rfam:Monodelphis domestica chromosome X, whole genome shotgun sequence.
AUGUGGACACAGUCCUUCAUUUUGUUAAUUUUGUGAAAAGAAGGAUCGUGUCCAUAGAG